GGCUGACCCUGCUUCCAGAGGGGAAGGAGGAAAACAAUAGGAGGGGAGCCAGUGCAGAGCAUAUUUAAAGCACAAUCAUGGGAAAUGCUCCCACUGCCAUGGAGCCCUUUUCCUGCCCCUGGCACAUCCCCUGGCUGCACUUCAGGCCUAUGGAUCCAGGACCCUCUUCACUAAGAGGCACCACGGAGAGCCCAGGAACACAGGACUUGGGAGGUGAACACACACAGCACAAUUUUUCCUGCCUUCUGGAAAGGUAGGAAGGUUUUCCUCCCCUGUGGAAAGGAGGUGAGUCCUUUUCCAGGUACAAUUUUCCAGGAAACAAAGCUGGAAUGACUGUAUUGAUGACCUGGUUGUGGUGCCAGGAAACGUGAGGGGAAUAUUUCAGUUACUCACCUGUAGAACUUGUAUUUAUUCACUUGUCAUUUAUGGGCAAGAACAGGAAUUUACUCGUUUUCUUUUUCUUUAAUGCCAUGAAUAAUAUUUAUGAAGUUGUUUGUACUUGGAAACCACAAGGUGGGGAACUCAGAGCUAUAAAAAUGCAAAGAGUUGUAAUCUCCCAGGAAUGAAACUGUGAAAUCAAGUGUUGAGCAAGAUGCUUUCAAAUGAAACAGUAUAUUUUCAGAAUUAUAUUGCAAGUGAGGGUUUUUUUUGCUGGGCUGAAUAAUUUUUCAUUCACUCUUUGAGGGAAAUAAAAAAGAAAACUGUGCAUUUCAUCUCCCUUUCCAGCCCCUUACUUUAGCAAAUACUUAGGCAGAAUAUCUUGUCCUCAUUUUUUUUUUGAAUUAUCAGUUUGUGAAAUGCUUUCCUCCCCUCUCCAGCUAUUUUCCAAUUCCUUGCCAAUGAGAAAAGGAUUAUUUUCCUCCUCUUUCCACCCUUCUCUUUUUUCCUCUAAAUUAGAACUUCUUGUGAUUUUUUUUUUCCCCCGUGGUAUCACUUUCUUUGGUUGUGAAACAAAGCCUCCCACUCUCAGAGAUAAACCUGGAUAUGUGGAGACAACUGAGAACUAUUGGAAUAACAGUGAUUUUCAUUUCUUGUUUUUGUUUUGAAACCACUCAAGCCAGUGAGAAUAUUUGACACAACCACAUCAACUACAGGAAUAGAAUUUAAUUCUGAGUGUUUAGAAACUGAGAGGUAAAAAACUACCCCCUCUUUUCUCAGUUAUUUGCUGCUUUUUGUGGACAAUCAUGGAAAAUCCUUGAAUUUUGAGAAUUCCUGCUUAUGCUGUGCCACCUGCUGAAGUGUUGCAGCCAGAGUGACAAUUCAGGGAGCAAUGGAGCAAAGGGGAAGUGACCAUAAACCAGGAAACUCAAAAUGGGUGGCAGGAAUGAUCUCCUGGAAUAACAAUUGCUGGAUAAGACAGAGUGGGGCAACAGUUACCAGGGUGUCGUCAGGAAAAAGCUCUGGAGCAGGUUGUGUUCAAAUAGGAGUUCAAGGAGAAGGUUCCACAGUGGAAGAGAUGUUUUAAACACACUCCCAGGUCAGAAGGGGAAAGUAGUUCCUCAAAUCCAAGGAAAGAUGGUGAGAAGGAAUUGCACAGAGGGGUGGGGAUUUACAUGCUGGGAGACAGUGAGUGAUCGGGUUUGUCAGCAAAGGGAUGAAUCCCAAAGUUCAGGGCACAAGGUCCUGCUGAAUAAAGAUGUUUCUUUGGAAAGUUCUGCUCAACUCCAGCCUGGAGAGAGAAGGAAAUAAAACCACCCCACCUUCCCCAGGCCUUGGAGGCCCUCCAGCAAAGUUCAGUCACUUGAGGGCAGAGGAAAUGCCUGAUGAGGAACUGCUGGAUGUGCAUAAAAUACUCUGCCUUGGAGGGGGAGAAAGGGGAUUUUGAGAGGAGAUCUGCUUUGGGAAUACAAGGAACUAAGGGAGAUGACCCAGAGCUAUGGGGGAACAGCAGGAGCAUUUGUGCUGCAGGUGGGAAGAGAGGAUUCUGGCUGGAUACCUGGAAUGUAGGACAGCCUGGGUGGCAGGAACAGGAUUUAGGAACAGACUGGGAUCUGUGUGGUGACAGGGCUGUGAAGGGGACACUGCAAGCCCCACCACAGAGUCAGAGGGAACCAAUUCCUUUCUCCUGUCCAUUCCUGCACUUCCAUACACUUUCAUUUCAAAGGAAUGAGGAGCCCAGCCCUGGUGACAAAGAGCUCUCACUUGAUCUCCAGCCAGAGCAGGGAAGCAGAGCCCUUGCUGAGGGUGUGAACUUCCUUCAUUCCCAGGGCCCUGUCACACCAACGUGCAGCAUUUUAAUCAAAAUCAAAGCUUCCCUCUGAAAUUCCUGGGCUUAGUUAUAAAACACUUCAUGUCCAUCCUGCUGGAAAAAGCAGGAGAGUGUUAAGAAGUUUAAAUGUUACGAGAAUGUGUCUUCCCAAAGGCAAACUGUGCAGUAAAUACUCUGGUUCAGCGGCUCUCAGACGUCUGUAGUUGUUCAGGAUUUCUGUUAAAUAAUCUGGAGAUUUUUAAAACUCACCACUGCUAACAACAAACACAGGAACGUGUGUAAACACAGGAGUGUGUGUAUCCUGAGGAAACCUUUGCAGGCACAAAGGGAAAGUUGUGCACUGAGCCAAGUGUUAUCUAAUAAUUCAGCUACAGUCCCCAAAGCCCAAAGCUCUGAAUUCCCAGAAUCACAGGCUGGUUUGGGGGGAAAGGACCUUAAAAGCAUCUUGUUCCAUCCCCCUGCCAUGGGGGAACACCUUCCACAGACCCAGCUGCUCCAAGCCCUGUCCAACCUGGCCUAGAACACCAACAAAAUCCUGAAAUUCCUGGUUUGGCUGAGAAGCUGCACACUGUUAAUGAUGCUUUUACAUUCUCGUAUUUUUGAAUGCAUGGCCUGAUUUGGCUGUUGGACAUAGAGCCUGGUGCCCCCCUGCCCCAGGGAACAGCUCUGGAAUUCUGGGAAGCACGGGGGGCAAUAGUUCUGAGCAGUGUCUGUAGGAGAAGGAGCCAUAAACCCCGCACUGAGCCCUGCUGUGACUCAGCACAGAGGGAGGAGCUGUUUGCUUUGGCAGAGCGUCCCUUCAAACCACAGGAGCUUCCUCGGGCCGAGAUCUUCGGUGUCAGAGAGAUUUAUGUUCAAAAAGGCUUCCUCAGCCUUUUCCCAGCAGUUUACAGGAGAUGGUGCACCAACCCAAUAAAAUCCGAGUGGGACAGAGCCCAGAGAACUUUAUAAUAACACAUUCCUUAGCACAUGGAGUGAUUAAAGAACUGUUUGCGUGGCUGUGUGCGACAGAUCCUGCAUCACACGCUGUCAGUGCGUGCUGGGGGCAAAGCACAGGCUUUUCCUUUCAGAAAAUGGGUAAUGGUGUAAUGAUGGUGGAGUAAAAAACGUAUUUAAUGGUGUCAGACGCGGUUCCGGCUUCGUUGCAAUUUGGAAGCGUCUUCAGCAAAGACAGUGAUAACUCAGGAGAGCUGAACCCUGAAAGCUAAUCGUUGUUUCAUGGCAAUAUUUACUGUCCUGAGUGCUCAGUGCACUUGAUUGAUCUGGGCAAUGCAAAGAGGUGAGGCCACAAGCACAACAAUUUUAUGGCCCCUAUAAAGCCCCGCACGCAUUUUGCUCCAUUUUCUGCUGUUAAACCCAGAGUUUGGGAUCAUAUGGCACUUUAAGUGCUUUGAUUUAUGGGCAGACAGCAAUUGCAUGUGUAAUAAACAUCCUAAAGCAGGAGUUUAAGAGCAAUCUCCUGUAUUUAUUUGUGACAUAAACACUCACCUGCAAUGCAUGUGGGAAUCAUCUGGGGCUUAACUCACAGGGAACAUCUCAGCCAUUAAGCUCCAGGCACAGCAAGGUUGUAUCCAAGGUGAAGAUGGAAGGGACUGGGAAGAAAAGGGUGGCAUGGCAAAUAGAAAUGGAAAAAAUCUUCUUUUUCUGCUGUUAAAUAUUCCAGCACACAGCCGUAAUUUCUUACUCUCCUGGUAAAGUGUACAAAAUAAAUUACAACCCCAGUCUUGUUUAAUAUGAAAUAUUUAAGCACACGGCCAUGAAAAGAACAUGAAAAACACACUGACAUGUUUGAAUAUAAAUAUAAUAAAAUUGCAGGUGUUUCAGGUUUGUGGAAAAUCCCUCCAGAAUGACUGAAAGCACAGAAACCCUUCGUGGCACUGGAACCUGCCCCAGCUCUGCUCCAUGUGAGGAAUCCUCCCCAUUGGCUGUUUUGGUGCCAAAUUAAUUAUCCUCAGUGGAUGAUUAGGAGUAACAGAAGGUAAUAAUUUUGAAAUGAUUUAAGUAGCUUUUAAAGUAACUUAAAUAAUUUAAUCCUUCCUUCUUUGCAUAUCUUUAUAUGAUAGUAAUAGAGUGUGGGAGAGUGGCAUUAAUGUAAUUGAUACUAUUAAGGAUGAGUGACAAGGAUUCAUGGACUUUAACACUUAUCCAUUUAUUUCUUAAGAAUAAGAAAUUCACUUAGGAUAAGCAAAUUCAGAUGGAUUUCUGGGCUUCCAAGAGUGGGAAGAAGAGAGGACAAAAAAAUCCAAGACUUAAUGAAACCAUGAGCUUGAAGUUUCCAGGGUGACACAGACUUAAAUAAAAAAGACAAAUUCGGGAUUCUUGAGUUUAAAUAAUAAAAUUAGAGGGGAGAUCUGAACAAUAUUCACCCUUAGAGGUUGCAAGGGCUGCCAUGGCUUUGUCUCACUGUUUUUAGAGGAAAAGGAAGGAGAUUCUGUCAUUUUACGUUUGUUACAUAUUGAUAACAGGAGUGACCCACUGAAUUUCUUCCAGUAAGGAAGCCUUGGACUGUCAUGCUACAGAGACUUAAUAGACUAAAAUGGGACUAGAAGAUCAUAAACCAGUGCUUAAAAUCCUCCUGGUAACAUGGCAGAGAGUCAGGAAGCCAUUCUAGGAUGAGCAUUUAUUUUUCCAGGAAUCCUUUGUCAUCCCACUUGGCACAGACAAGUUGUUAAGAAGCCUUCAAAAGUACUUUUGCAGAGUGAAUUUUUGGGUCUUUAGUGUACAAAACUCUGUGACAAAAACACACGGGAUGAAAUCCUGAUCCCCAAGGCAGCCUGAAAGAUUGUGGAGAUUUUGGUUAAUUGAUUAAAUCAAGUCAAGCCAACAAGAGCUUUGGUGAGAACGUCCCUAAAGCCUCAAUUCUGGUCAUUUCCAUGCUUCCCAUUGGCACACACAGCUGAAUCUUGCCCAAAAUAUUAUCAUCCCAUAUCAGAAAUAGCAGUUUAAUAUGUUUGUUCACUGUGUGGUUUUGCCUGUUGCUUUUCCUAUGGGGUGAAAAAGCCUUUUUGAGACUCAGAAGAUAAAAAUCUGCUUUUCUGGAUCUUCCUUUAAAUAAAGGGUAAAACUGCUCACAAAUUAAAGGAGAGAAUGUCUGUGGGAUCCUGUUGCCAAAGUCACUUGUCACUGCCCAUAUGAGUUACAUGUUAGCUGGGUUUGAAAUUCAUAUGAGAAUAUCAUAGUUUAAAGAAUAAAAUCGAAGUAUUAAUCAAAGUAGUGUUAAAGACAGCGAUAAAGCAUUGAAAAGUGUGUGUUAGGUGCCUUUUCCAGCUUCAGCUACCAAUUCUCUACAUUUACCUUCUCUCUGCUUCUGAACUGACUUUGAAAAUAGUACCAAGGAUUAUUUUUUUGAUGAUAAUAUUUUGGCACUCUACAGAUUGAAGUUUAACUUUGCCGGGUGCAACAGCCUGGAUUUGGUGCCUAUAAUUUCUUGUUGCUGAGGGGUAUCGUCCUCAAACCACAACAUAACAUCUCUGAGACUCCUGUGGUGAAGAUGAUGCUGGACAUGGAGCAGGAGAGGCUUUGGGGAAGCAGCUCUGAGCCACAGAAAGGUCAGUGCUGUUGCCUCUGUCUCUGUCUUUCCUCUCCCUCACCAGCCCUGGAUCCAGCGUGUCCCGACAUUCCUCAGCGUUUUCCUUCUGAGAAUGAUGGUGGGAGGCUGGUUUGGGGUGGUAUGACCAUGGUACCCUGAAAUAAUUGGUCUAAUUAGCCAGGAAACAACCCUACAUUUAACCUCCAUCCACAAGCCUUUGCUAGAUGUAACUUUUCUUUCCAAAGUUAUCCCUUUUAUCUCUGUAAAUAAAUUGUAAUUAUAAAACUCCAGGUGCCCUGCAGGUCACAAAUUACCUUUGAGCUCCCUCAAGUGGCAGCGAAACCCUCGAGUUUGUAACAGAAAUACAGGAGGUUGUUACAGAAACUCUCAGGUUUGUAACAGAAACCCUCGAGUUUGUUGUACAGUCUGUUUUCCAAGGAAGCUUUGUAAUUUAAAACCAUGUUUUCAGCUUUGUAAUUUAAAACCAUGAGUAAAGUGAAAGAGCUGUCUGGAUUUCACAGAAUCUAAACCAGCACUUGAAAAGGUGACCUGCUAAUUUAAUAACAUAGUUCUCUUUUGACAGGUCUCUGAAAAGACACAUAUUGAGUGAAAAGAAGCAUUUUAUGCCCAGUAGGAGUUUUCAGCUCGUUCACUACACAAUUCCAGCAUGUUUUGAGAAGUUAUUUUGACCUUCUUCUGUGGUUCCUGAUCAAAUUGAUUACAGAGUAGCUGGAAAGUGGAUGUCUUGGUUCAGCAUCUCAGGUAAAACUCAGCCCUUUCCACCACCCUGAAAAGGAAAAUAAAUCCUUGGGCUUAAAUCAUGAGGAUUUCUGCCUCGUUAAGAGUGUAUGUGACUCAAAAAGAGUAUAUUUUAAAUAAAAGUACUUGAUUACGUA